CCUACGGGAGGCAGCAGUGGGGGAUAUUGCACAAUGGGGGGAACCCUUAUGCAGCGACGCCGCGUGGGUGAAGACGCGCCUCGGCGCGUAAAGCCCUGUCGGCAGGGAAGAAAAUGCCAGUACCUGAAGAAGAAGCCACGGCUAACAACGAGACAGAAGCCGGGGUAAUACGUAGGGGGCAAGCGUUAUUCGGAUUUACUGGGUGUACAGGGGGGGCAGGCGGCGCUGCAAGCCAGGUGUGAAAGCCUGCGGCUCAACCCCGGGACUGCACUUGAAACUGCGUGUCUGGAGUGCAGGAGGGGCAGGCGGAAUUCCUGGUGUAGCGGUGAAAUGCGUAGAUAUCAGGAGGAACUCCGGUGGCGAAGGCGGCCUUCUGGACUGCAACUGACGUUGAGGCCCGAAAGCGUGGGGAGCAAACAGGAUUAGAUACCCGUGUAGUC
rnacentral:rRNA from 1 species